rnacentral:rRNA from 1 species
UACGAAGGGGGCUAGCGUUGCUCGGAAUGACUGGGCGUAAAGGGCGCGUAGGCGGCUCAGUAAGUCGGGUGUGAAAACUCCAGGCUCAACCUGGAGACGCCACCUGAUACUGCUGUGGCUAGAGUCCGGUAGGGGAGCAUGGAAUUCCUGGUGUAGCGGUGAAAUGCGCAGAUAUCAGGAGGAACACCAGUGGCGAAGGCGGUGCUCUGGGCCGGAACUGACGCUGAGGAGCGAAAGCGUGGGGAGCAAACAGG